AACGAACGCUGGCGGCAUGCCUAACACAUGCAAGUCGAACGAGACCUUCGGGUCUAGUGGCGCACGGGUGCGUAACGCGUGGGAACCUGCCCUUAGGUUCGGAAUAACUCCCCGAAAGGGGUGCUAAUACCGGAUAAUGUCUUCGGACCAAAGAUUUAUCGCCUUUGGAUGGGCCCGCGUUGGAUUAGCUGGUUGGUAGGGUAAAAGCCUACCAAGGCGACGAUCCAUAGCUGGUCUGAGAGGAUGAUCAGCCACACUGGGACUGAGACACGGCCCAGACUCCUACGGGAGGGAGGAGUGGGGGAUAUUGGGCGAUGGGGGAAAGCCUGAUCCAGCAAUGCCGCGGGAGUGAUGAAGGGCUUAGGGUUGUAAAGCUCUUUUACCCGGGAUGGUAAUGACAGUACCGGGAGAAUAAGCUCCGGCUAACUCCGUG
rnacentral:rRNA from 1 species